ACACCUGAAAGAUUGUCUCAACCUGUUCUUUAGGCCAAGGUGAGCAAAGUUUCAGGUGUGU
rnacentral:pre_miRNA from 1 species